UCGAUUCCCUUAGUAGCGGCGAGCGAAACGGGAAGAGCCCAAACCAACAAGCUUGCUUGUUGGGGUUGUAGGACACUCUAUACGGAGUUACAAAGGACGACAUUAGACGAAUCAUCUGGAAAGAUGAAUCAAAGAAGGUAAUAAUCCUGUAGUCGAAAAUGUUGUCUCUCUUGAGUGGAUCCUGAGUACGACGGAGCACGUGAAAUUCCGUCGGAAUCUGGGAGGACCAUCUCCUAAGGCUAAAUACUCUCUAGUGACCGAUAGUGAACCAGUACCGUGAGGGAAAGGUGAAAAGCACCCCGGAAGGGGAGUGAAAUAGAACCUGAAACCGUGUGCUUACAAGUAGUCAGAGCCCGUUAAUGGGUGAUGGCGUGCCUUUUGUAGAAUGAACCGGCGAGUUACGAUUUGAUGCAAGGUUAAGCAGUAAAUGUGGAGCCGUAGCGAAAGCGAGUCUGAAUAGGGCGUUUAGUAUUUGGUCGUAGACCCGAAACCAGGUGAUCUACCCUUGGUCAGGUUGAAGUUCAGGUAACACUGAAUGGAGGACCGAACCGACUUACGUUGAAAAGUGAGCGGAUGAACUGAGGGUAGCGGAGAAAUUCCAAUCGAACCUGGAGAUAGCUGGUUCUCUCCGAAAUAGCUUUAGGGCUAGCCUCAAGUGAUGAUUAUUGGAGGUAGAGCACUGUUUGGACGAGGGGCCCCUCUCGGGUUACCGAAUUCAGACAAACUCCGAAUGCCAAUUAAUUUAACUUGGGAGUCAGAACAUGGGUGAUAAGGUCCGUGUUCGAAAGGGAAACAGCCCAGACCACCAGCUAAGGUCCCAAA
rnacentral:rRNA from 1 species